UCAAGUUUUCCCAGAGCACAGAACAUAAACACUCUCAUUUGGUGGUUCAAUAACCGUUGCAACUGCCACCAAAUGAGAGUGUUUAUGUUCUGUGCUCUGGGAAAACUUGAGAAA
rnacentral:pre_miRNA from 1 species